AUGGGAUCUACACGAGCAACGAGUGAAGAUGACAAGGCUCUUGUCUUGUGCCAGGAAAGAAAACGUUAUGUGAAAGAAGCACUUGAUGGGAGAUGUGCAUUUGCAGCCGCUCACUUUGCAUAUAUUCAGUCGCUGAGGCACACAGGAUUUGCUCUGAGAAAAUUUGUAGAACCUGAAGUGCCAACAGACUCUUCAUUAUACACAUCAACAUCUGCAACACCAGAGCCUCCUGGCAUGAGGCAUAGAUCGAUGAACCUCUCCCCAUCUGUAUCACAUCCGGCCAGUGACUCCUUCUCCCCAGCUCCGUCCCCGUUAUCUUCAGGGCGUUUCCAUGUCAAUCAUAUGAAAGCCGGGAGGAACCCAGCGAGGACUGUUGAGGAAAAGGUGCCUGUUCCUGUAACAGCAACUCUGGAGACUUCAUCCUCAGUUCCCAUUCAAACUGUACAUGAUCUGGAUGAUAGUUCUACAUUUGAAGCUCCUCCAGGGACACCACCAUGGGACUACUUUGGCCUUUUUCAACCUGUUGAGAGCCAGUUGUCAUUUCAUGAUGAGAAGGAAUCUGGUCAUGAUUUUGAAAAUGCUGAUGAUAUUAGGCGCCUUAGGGAGAAGGAAGGAAUUCCAGAGCUUGAGGAGGAAUUGGAGAAGUCGCAUGCUCAUGCUGGUGAUGUUAGGCUCUCGCAACAGGAGAAAACUCCAGAUGUCAGAGAUGGGGAGCAAUCUACUAUGAGUGGAAGGGAGGAUGAUUUUGCAGACUCAGAAGAUGAUUUUGAGAACCCAUCUUCUGAACCUUUAGUGCGGAUGUUCAAGAACCGCAAUGAUACACCUGUUGAAAAUAUUGUAACAGAUCAGUCACCUGCACAUCUUGCUGCAGAUAAGGUUGUCUCAAAAAAUUUGGUAGAUAAGGUUGCCUUGGAAAAUAUUGCAGAUAAGGUUGCCUUGGAAAAUAUUCAUUCCAAAACGGAGGAGCCGAAAAGUGACAACAAGGUACUUGAGCCAAAAAGUGACAAUAGGGUACUUGACAUUAGCAUGUAUGAAACUGAUGAAACCCCUGUGACGAGCCCUGUGAAAGAAGUGGCAUCUUCGGUUGCCGCUCAUCCUAUAAACGGGAAAUCGAAGGAACCUUUUCGUGAUGUUAGAAAUGGGGAAAAGGACCUGUCUACAUCCAUGAAAGAGGUUGAAAUCUUAUUUAUCAAGGCAUCUGAUUCUGGCAAAGAAGUCCCGAGGAUGCUUGAAGCGGAUAAAGUCAAUUUCCGCCCUUUGCUAACCGAAGAAAGAGCACGUGGAUUAAAGGCACCAGGCUUUUUUGCAACACUCUUUGCUUGCUGCAGGGAGGAAGUCCCUGUUCCUCAGCCUCCACCACAAGCCGACAUGAAGCAUCUUACCUGGCAUAGAUCAGUGUCUUCGCACUCUUCGUCAUCAAGAAAUCCUAUUGGGGCAGCAUCGAAAGUUGAUGUUGAUGGUCUCACUGGAAAUAUCUUUAGUGGUGUAUACAUGAAUUCUGGCAGUCACGCUUCCACACUGGAUAGAUUGUAUGCAUGGGAGAGAAAGCUCUGUGAUGAAGUUAAGGCUAGCAGUACAAUUUGCAGGCAGUAUGAUGAGAAAUGUAGGUACCUGAGAAACCAGGAAUCAAGAGGAGAAAGCCAAAUGAGUAUUGAUAGAACCCGUGCUGUUGUGAAGGAUUUGUACUCCAGAAUUUGUGUGGCCAUUCAGAGAAUUGACAUGAUUUCCAAGAACAUAGAGGAUCUGAGGGACAAAGAGCUUCAACCGCAGCUUGAAGAAUUAAUUGGAAGCUUAACUCGCAUGUGGGAAACAAUGCUCGAGUGUCACCGGCAUCAACAUGAGAUUAUUAAGCUAGUAUCCAACAGUGGCGGUAUAAAGGUCUUAAUCCGGUCGGAAUCACAGUUCCAAGCAACUCUACUCCUUCAGGUUGAACUAAAGUCACUAUUUUCAAACUUCCAGAGAUGGAUAGUAUCCCAUAGAUCUUACUUGAAUAGCCUACAGUCAUGGUUACUGAAGUGUGUGAAAUCACUAAGGACGAAGAAAAAAUCUAGAAAGAAGAAGGAUACCAAUUUUCAAAUAACAAAUUUUGCUGUUGCACCCAUAUUUACAAUCUGUGAGCAGUGGAUUCAGUUACUGGAUGAGUUGCCAAUCGAAGACUUGGAAGGUGGCAUUAAAGGUCUCCUUGCAGAUAUAAACCAUUGUAUGCCUCGUCAAGAGAAGAGGCGUGGUGGUUCAAGGUCUACAUUCGCAAUAGCUAAUGGAGGGUUGAAUGAUGAAAUGAGGGGAAUCCAUAGAAAUGCCGCUCAUACGGAUUUACAGUCGAGCCUGGAGAGCUUCCUAGGGAAGCUUGAAUUCUUCUCAGAUGUUUCAGUGCACAAAUAUGGUGAACUCAAGAAAAAAGUUAAUACGGCAAAGGAGAAAUAUGAGCAACAGAAUAAGUAA
rnacentral:rRNA from 1 species